UGUGAGAUUGAUGACUUUUCAUGUGACGCGUAAUGCGUAUUAUAUGGCGUGAAGGGGAUUGAUAACGCCCCAACAACGCCCCUGGGGCGUUAUAGGGGGUAUGAAGUGGGAGGGGCGCUUAUGAUGCUAAUUUGCGGAAAAUACCCCUUAUUAACCAUUACGCAUGGUCUAGCUGAACGUAUAUUGUUUCCCUAAAAAACCAUAGUAUCAAAUUAUAUUCCAGCAUUACACAUAUUUUGGAAUUAAUUUCUAUAUAAGUGGUUUUACUAUGUUAUUACAAUGUAAAAUAUAAGAAUAAAAGCUGGUGUAAGACAUGGAAAAUUUCAGCUUUGCAAUUGUUGAUUCUCAAUAUGUCGACUGAAUUUAUGGUGUGCAAAAGUUAUAUUUAAUAUGUGGUUUGAAGACUCA